GGCCAGUUAGCUCAGUUGGUUAGAGUGUGGUGCUAAUAAUGCCAAGGUCAUGGGUUCAAUUCCCAUACCGACCA